rnacentral:rRNA from 1 species
AUUGAACGCUGGCGGCAUGCCUUACACAUGCAAGUCGAACGGCAGCACGGGAGCAAUCCUGGUGGCGAGUGGCGAACGGGUGAGUAAAGUAUCGGAACGUGCCCAGUCGUGGGGGAUAACGUAGCGAAAGUUACGCUAAUACCGCAUACGAUCUAUGGAUGAAAGCGGGGGAUCGCAAGACCUCGCGCGAUUGGAGCGGCUGAUAUCAGAUUAGGUAGUUGGUGGGGUAAAGGCUCACCAAGCCGACGAUCUGGAGCUGGUCUGAGAGGACGACCAGCCACACUGGGACUGAGACACGGCCCAGACUCCUACGGGAGGCAGCAGUGGGGAAUUUUGGACAAUGGGCGCAAGCCUGAUCCAGCCAUGCCGCGUGCAGGAUGAAGGCCUUCGGGUUGUAAACUGCUUUUGUACGGAACGAAAAGGUUUGACUUAAUACGUUGGACUCAUGACGGUACCGUAAGAAUAAGCACCGGCUAACUGCGUGCCAGCCGCCGCGGUAA